rnacentral:rRNA from 1 species
UUUCCGUUGGUGACAGCGGAGGGAUCAUUACCGAGUUUACAACUCCCAAACCCCUGUGAACAUACCUUAUGUUGCCUCGGCGGAUCAGCCCGCGCCCCGUAAAAAGGGACGGCCCGCCGCAGGAACCCUAAACUCUGUUUUUAGUGGAACUUCUGAGUAUAAAAAACAAAUAAAUCAAAACUUUCAACAACGGAUCUCUUGGUUCUGGCAUCGAUGAAGAACGCAGCAAAAUGCGAUAAGUAAUGUGAAUUGCAGAAUUCAGUGAAUCAUCGAAUCUUUGAACGCACAUUGCGCCCGCCAGUAUUCUGGCGGGCAUGCCUGUUCGAGCGUCAUUUCAACCCUCAAGCCCAGCUUGGUGUUGGGAGCUGCAGUCCUGCUGCACUCCCCAAAUACAUUGGCGGUCACGUCGAGCUUCCAUAGCGUAGUAAUUUACACAUCGUUACUGGUAAUCGUCGCGGCCACGCCGUUAAACCCCAACUUCUGAAUGUUGACCUCGGAUCAGGUAGGAAUACCCGCUGAACUUAAGCAUAUCAAUAAGGGAAGGAA